CCUACGGGGGGCAGCAGUGGGGGAUAUUGCACAAUGGGGGAAACCCUGAUGCAGCGACGCCGCGUGGGUGAAGAAGCGCCUCGGCGCGUAAAGCCCUGUCAGCAGAGAAGAAAAUGACGGUACCUGAAGAAGAAGCCCCGGCUAACUCCGUGCCAGCAGCCGCGGUAAUACGUAGGGGGCAAGCGUUAUCCGGAUUUACUGGGUGUAAAGGGGGCGCAGACGGCGAUGCAAGCCAGGAGUGAAAGCCCGGGGCCCAACCCCGGGACUGCUCUUGGAACUGCGUGGCUAGAGUGCAGGAGGGGCAGGCGGAAUUCCUGGUGUAGCGGUGAAAUGCGUAGAUAUCAGGAGGAACACCGGUGGCGAAGGCGGCCUGCUGGACUGCAACUGACGUUGAGGCCCGAAAGCGUGGGGAGCAAACAGGAUUAGAUACCCCAGUAGUC
rnacentral:rRNA from 1 species